UACAGAGGGGGCAAGCGUUAUUCGGAAUUAUUGGGCGUAAAGGGCGCGUAGGCGGCUUUUCAAGUGACGGGUGAAAUCCCUCGGCUUAACCGAGGAACUGCCUGUCAGACUGGAAGGCUUGAGACCGGGAGAGGUGAGUGGAAUUCCCAGUGUAGAGGUGAAAUUCGUAGAUAUUCGGAAGAACACCAGUGGCGAAGGCGGCUCACUGGACUGGUAUUGACGCUGAGGUGCGAAAGCGUGGGGAGCAAACAGG
rnacentral:rRNA from 1 species